CAGAGCCAGAGGGACAAUUCACCACUCAUUCCAGCCCUGCAGAAGAAAUUGGACAAGCAUCUAACUCCCAGACCUCCCAGUGCUGCCAGUCAGUUCUCAUCCAGGGCCCUGUCUGAGGGUCCCGGAAUUGGAGCGGAUCGGGAGCCUGUGGUGGCUGCUAGGAGGAUUCAGGAGAAAAAGGAACUGCAUAUAGUAAAUGUGGAUAAAGUGGAGACUUACCUUGAGACAUCUGAGUCGGAGCCCCAACAGGGACUCCUGGUUGCUGCUGCCCCGGGUUUCCCGAUGACGCUUCCUCCGGUUCCAUCUUCUCCUCUUGGAUCACAUCAGGAGAAGAGAAAGCUCCAGUAAGCACCACAACCUGGAAGAAGGAAAAACUAAGGAACAGCAAUAUGGUAGAACUUACCGUAUGAGGGGAAUCCUUACUGGCCUUUGGAACUGUUGGACUCCAAGUUUAUCCGAAAGGAAGUCCCAGUGAGAACAUAAACCUGG
ensembl:lncRNA